AUUGAACGCUGGCGGCAGGCUUAACACAUGCAAGUCGAGCGGGGUGAUGGUGCUUGCACUAUCACUUAGCGGCGGACGGGUGAGUAAUGCUUAGGAAUCUGCCUAUUAGUGGGGGACAACAUCUCGAAAGGGAUGCUAAUACCGCAUACGUCCUACGGGAGAAAGCAGGGGAUCACUUGUGACCUUGCGCUAAUAGAUGAGCCUAAGUCGGAUUAGCUAGUUGGUGGGGUGAAGGCCUACCAAGGCGACGAUCUGUAGCGGGUCUGAGAGGAUGAUCCGCCACACUGGGACUGAGACACGGCCCAGACUCCUACGGGAGGCAGCAGUGGGGAAUAUUGGACAAUGGGGGGAACCCUGAUCCAGCCAUGCCGCGUGUGUGAAGAAGGCCUUAUGGUUGUAAAGCACUUUAAGCGAGGAGGAGGCUCUUUUGGCUAAUACCCAAGAUGAGUGGACGUUACUCGCAGAAUAAGCACCGGCUAACUCUGUGCCAGCAGCCGCAGUAA
rnacentral:rRNA from 1 species